UUAUCGGAGAGUUUGAUCCUGGCUCAGGACGAACGCUGGCGGCGUGCCUAAUACAUGCAAGUCGAGCGGACAGAUGGGAGCUUGCUCCCUGAUG
rnacentral:rRNA from 3 species